rnacentral:lncRNA from 1 species
GGAUGGACCAUAUUUGUAGACAGAUUAGUCCUGAGGUAAUAUUUGCAAGUGGAUGGGCCUUGAGGCCGUGUUCAAUUAUUUGUAUGGGCUAUUGAGACCGAACUGGUUAUGUAUUGGUUGUGGAGACAUAUCUUUAUUCGAUUUGACUGGUGAGGCUGAGCUUAUCCUGUUGGGAUUGGCUGUGGAGGUGUUAUCAAGCUUGGCCGUUGAGGCCAAGCUUUUCAAGUGGCUAAUCCAACUGAGAUUUUGAAGGCUGAACUAUCUGUCCAAGCUUUCAACGGUAGACAGGUCCUAAGUCUGAACUCCUUACAUUGUUUCUGAUUUCUAUUAUUUGGAAAUAUUGAAUUGGGUGUAGGUGUCGUACCCUGUUUUCUUUCGUAAUCGGAUACAUGUUCUUUCGUGUUUAAGCGCUGCGAAAUAUUUGAUUGUAAAUUUAAGAACUAUAAAUAUAUUUAAAUUUUUUUAUUGACACGAAUUGAUGGAAUAUCUUAUGCAGUAUGUACGUAUAAAUGAACAUGAGUAAGAGUGUCGUCCACGGUUUAUUUUGUCUUCAAACUCUAAAUAGAAAUCUCAGACGAAUAAAAAUCAAGCAAUGGGGUGAUUUCUGAGAAAGACUUUUUAAUAAUUUUUUUUGACAAUACAUAUUUUUAUGAUUGAUUCGUUUAAAAUAUUUUUUUUUAAAAUAAAUUCAAACAAAUCAAUAUAACAGUGAAACGGAUCCUGUGAAAAAAUUAUUAAUAAAGAGUUCUAAAAAUAUCAUUAUUUUUUCUUUAUUCGAUACGAAGGAAAUGAGACAUAGUAUCCAUAAGCGGAUAUGCACUGCGGCGAAAAAGAUUCAAAAAAGGGUAUUCACACCUAGUUUUCUUUUUUCUGAUACACAUGAAUCGACUUUUAACAUAUUUAAUUAAAAUACAAAGUUAAUCAUUCAAUAUAAAACUAACAAAAUCAGGUACAAGAUUGUUAUAUAAAGAAGCAAGUUAGUUAAUUAUUUCCAGUCAUAUUUAAUGAAUAUAUUUUUUUUCUUUCUUUAAUAAUUAUUCACAGCCUAAAGAGAGCCAAGAGAAAAAGUAUGAAAGAUAACAGCAUGAAUUUGAUUAUAUAUAAGAAAUAUUCGCAGCGCUUAAACACGAAAGAGCACGUAUCCGACUAUUUCAAACAAUAAUGUAAGGAAGGUCAAGAUUGAGGCAUGGUAUAAAGAUGUAGUCAAACACUAGAAACUGUUGUUCAUAGCAACCACACUACAUAGUGUGAACAUAUUUUGAUACAGUUAAAUAAAAAAUGAAAACACAAAGGGGUUGAGAGCAUAAAUAAACACUUCUAAAGUGCAUGCAUGUAUAUAUACGAAACUGAUUGUAUUUCAAAAGAAAGUAGAACAAAGAAACAUAAUACAAGGACUUUCUAAGCUGAAAGAAACAGAAAUCAAGUCUAACGACUAAAUGGUAUUGACCAGUAAAUGCACACUAUAUACUAGGAGCCUACGAAUAGAAAUAUGAAAAGAAACUAAAAAUGAAGUUAGACAGAUGGUCUAACUUCAAGACCGGCUUCCAUUGUUGAUUCUCUUGUAGGAGUAUUGUUUUGUUCAGCUUCACCAGACAUCUCCUCCAGCGAUUUUCCUUUAGAUUCAGGAAUCAGAAACGUAAAGAUAAACCCCAAGAAGUUAAUGGCAGACAAAAUAAGAAGUGUAUUUCUUAGUCCAAUGGCGUUUUGAGCAUAGAGGAAGCCAAAAGCCCCUACCAUUGCCCCAGCUUUGCCAGCUGCAGCCGAUAUGCCAUGACAUGUUGACCUUAGUCUUGCAGGGAAAAUCUCUGCUGGCACCACGAAUGUUGUGGCAUUUGGACCAAAAUUGGCAAAGAAGAAGGUCAAUGAAUAGAGGACAACAAACCCAAUUUGGUUGCCGCUCAAGGUCCAGUGGUGGUAUGGAAUGGCUAAGGCAAGCAUGAAGACGGUCAUAAAGAAAAAUCCCAUCAACUGAAUUGUAUACCUGCCCAUCUUAUCAAUGAGUGCCACUGUGAACCAGUAACCAGGGACAGUACUGCAAAGAGCUAUGAGGGUCUGUGCUCUAGCAAUUUUGUAAACCUCUUGAAUGGCAUUCAUGGUUUUUGCUGGAGGAAUCCAACCAAUAGUACUGAAAAUGUCUUUCUGGAAAAGAUUCUGACUGUAAUAGGCAAUGUCCAACAGGAACCAAGUACUGGCUGUUCCAACAAGGUGAAGUCCAUGGCGAAGAAGGAACUCUUUUGUGAACAGGCCAAACUCAUUCCCCCUUCCUCUUCUUCCUUCCAAUUCCUCAACUUUCUCUGGUUCAGCUUCUAUCUCAACCUGCAACACCUUUGACAUAUCUGCAGCAGCUUGGCUCGUAUUCUUGGCAACCAAGGCAGUGUAUCUCGCAGUCUCGGGCAUUUUCAAGCGCCAAUAGUAUGUGAUCACAGCAGGGAUUGCACCAAACAUCAAGAUUAUCCUCCAAACGUAAUCAGCUUGUGGCACUGUGGACAGAAGUGGGUUGACCUGGAAUGUUGGAGCGGGAUAGAGGGCACCGAAAGCAGCUGACACUACUAUUGCAACCACUCCACCAGCCAAAAUUCCAAAACCUUGCAUGGCAAAAACAGCAGCUAUGAACGCUCCACGAGUCUUCUUGUUGGCAUACUCAGCCAUGAUGGUGGCGGAAAGAGGGUAGUCUCCACCAAUUCCAAAUCCAAGCCAGAAGCGGAAGAAACAAAGGGUAGCCAUGACAGCUUUAGGGUCUUUACCAAAGGAAAGACCAGAAGCAAUUGAGCUUACGACCAUGAGCAUAAGGGUCAUACCGUAGACACGCUUCCUUCCCAUUUUGUCACCAAGCCACCCAAAGAAAAGUUGGCCUGCAAGGGAUCCACAGAAUGCGACACCAUUGAUGGCAGCUGAAACAUUUGCUGGCAGAGAGCCAGGCUUAUCAUGGCCUACAGUAUAGUAUAUUCGGCCAAGUAAUUUGGUGACCAGGGAUAUGCAGAACAGGUCAUAAGAAUCAGUGAAGAAACCCAUUCCAGCAAUCACAAUUGCUGUGAAAUGAUACCAUUGUGUCUUAGCAACAUCCAGUGCAUUAAGCACAUGCAGAGAUUGCCCACCCAUGCUUUUCUUCCUUCAAUCUUUCAGGACCUUAACUUCAGAAAAACACACAAUAGUUAACAUCAGAAAAUAAUAUAUAUAAAAAACAUGAACUGUGAUACUUUACAAUGAAGGAGAGAGACUUUUAGUCGUUACCAACACCCAGUUUUUAUGAAAGACCUCUUAAACACUAAUCACAUGACACUUUUCUUUUAAAAUAUAAAAUAAAAUUAUUAAAGAUAUUAGGUCAGUAUCAAGAGAAUGAAUCUAAUAACAAAAUAGACAAGAACUAAAACAGUAAUUUAAAAAACAAGGAGAUAAUUAACCUAAAGAGAGCAGAAAAUUAUAUCCUGCAUUCUAACGUGUGCAUGGAAACCCUAAAGUGAAAAAGAGCACUUAGAUAUGCAGAUGUUUAGAGUGAAAAAAAUCAGAAAGAAACAGAGAGACAUAUAUUAAAUGCCGAAUAAUUUAUUUAUUCCUUAAAAGAUAUCAAACUGAAGACAUUCUCGUAUUACAGACCAGCAGACAGCAGAUCACAGAGACUUAACGUGAGAAGAGAUUACACACCUCAGUAGCACGCCGCAAAUCACAAACGUGAGGAGUAAGCUUUGAAGUAAGGAAUUUGACGUAGAAGGAGGGAUGGUUCCCCCUAUUUAAAAGAAACCAUUCUAUCUUAUCUUAGUAAAAGAUAUAAAUUAAUCAAAAUAUUCUUUAUCUAUUUCCUUUUAAUCUUUUUAUUUAUUUUGUUAUUAGAGAUUAAAGAUAAUGAUAAUUACAAAGGAUAAGAGGUAGAUAUAUAAUUUUAGG